GGGUCAUUUCGCCUGUUCGCGUCCAUCGCCCAGUUCGCGUCCAUUUUGCCGAUCUCCUUUUAAAAAUCCUCGAAAACAAGUCAACUAACACACCAAUCAAACGAAAAGUCAUUACCGCUAAUACGUCAAUGUAUAAGAGGCACGCACACAUAGACAAAAGUCCUGUGCGUCCAACCAUUCCUGUUUAGAAAAAUAGUUAGUCUCCGCUGUUCAACAAGGAAGCUCACAUGCGCUGCAUAUUUAGAUAAAAAUUAGUGUGCAGCGGCGUGUUUGAUGAUCCAGAUAAUGAUUGGAUAGCUAGUUACGAGCCGCGAAAGUUUAACAAAGGUACAAACCACGGUAAAAAUUUCAACUUGGAAUUCGAUUUAAAAAAAAUUAAAGAUGAUAGUGGAUUGCCAAUGAUCUUAAAAACAUCUCUAGCUUUUCUUCUUUCCAAUGAUAUGUCACGUCAUGUAGUAAUUAGAUAUUGAAAUUCGUCAAAAAUUCAAAGUUUAGGGAAGAAAAUGGAACAAUAAUACAAAAGUAGUUGAAUGGCUUCUUAACAUUUCUAAAUGUGGAUUUCCAGUAAAAAG